rnacentral:rRNA from 1 species
AACAAACGCUGGCGGCGUGCCUAAUACAUGCAAGUCGAACGGGGAAAGCUUUCGGGUGAGUACUAGUGGCGCACGGGUGAGUAACGCGUGGAUAAUCUGCCUUAGAGUGGGGGAUAACUAGUCGAAAGAUUAGCUAAUACCGCAUAAGACCACAAGAACUGCGGUUCAAGGGGUCAAAGGUUUUUCGCUCUAAGAUGAGUCCGCGUAAGAUUAGCUAGUUGGUGAGGUAAUGGCUCACCAAGGCGACGAUCUUUAACUGGUCUGAGAGGAUGAUCAGUCACACUGGAACUGAGACACGGUCCAGACUCCUACGGGAGGCAGCAGUAGGGAAUAUUGCACAAUGGAGGAAACUCUGAUGCAGCGACGCCGCGUGAGUGAUGAAGGCCUUCGGGUCGUAAAGCUCUGUCGCAAGGGAAUAACACAAUGAAUGUACCUUGCAAGAAAGGAUCGGCUAACUUCGUGCCAGCAGCCGCGGUAACAC